GCCCUCGAUGGCUCAGAUGGAUAGAGCGUCUGCCAUGUAAGCAGGAGAUCCCGUGUUCGAGUCCCGGUUGGGGCA
rnacentral:tRNA from 1 species